CAGCCUGCCCCGGCCAAACCCGGACGACACUGGGCCAAUUGUGUGCCGGCCUAUGGGACUCCCAAUCAUGGCCGGUUGUGAUACAACCUGUCUCAUAGAUACCAAUGCGUUGUUCUUGACUUCCAUUGAAACAGAAAACAUUAGGGAGUGGGAUGUUUCACUUCCUCUUCCAUCUCUGCUUGAGACUCCAGAAUGCUGAGUCACAAUGACAAGCCAGAAAUACAGCCAGUGCAUAGCCUGAGUCGGUCCACAUAGAACACACUAGAGGUUAGGACAGGAAUAAGAGUGGGAAGGAGGGAGAGAAAUAGGAACAUCUCCCCCACACAUUCUGAAAUUGCAUUUUUGGCUGUUUAGUGUUUAUCCCCGAAAAAUAUACAUUUUAGCUAAAUACAUUUAAUUACAGUGAAAAUUCCUUGUCUUAGUUCAUUUAGGAUCACCACUUUAUUUUAAGAAUGUGAAAUGUCAUAGAUUUCAGCUUAUUCCCAGUGGGUCAGAAGUUUACACUCAGAAUUUUGUAGCAUUGCCUUUAAAUUGUUUAACUUGGGUCAAACGUUUCAGUUAGCCUUCUACAAGCUUCCCACAAUAAGUUGGGUGAAUUUUAUAGUAAGGCUGUCAUAUUUCCCAGUCCCUUAUAGGCAUAUGGCUCAAAAUAUGGAAGAAUGCAAAUAGACUCCUCAAGUAUUAAUGAGCAGUAGUGUGUCAUUUAAAUAUACUGAUAGCAAAUAUUGUCCAUCAACCUGCAACCCUGGGACAACCUGUGGGUCAUAACAGCUUGCUAGUUUAUUUGCGCACAGGUUCGAAUGACCUGACUUUUAAAAUGCUCAGGUUAAAGGCUACAGCGACUUGUGAAGUCGGUUACCCAUGUCACAGUUAAUGACCUAGCUGUUAUGGGACCUGAACAGACGUUGCACCAUUACAAGUUAUGUAAUAGCCCUUAUAAAGCUCAUGUCAACCUUCUAUGACCCUCAGUCACUGUAGUAGGCUUACAAUUGUCAGUAUUUAGCAUUUCUAUGGAGAAAUGAUUGCACAGAUGGCAAUUGGACAAAAACAUGUAUCGUCAGCCUCAUGUGUCAUUCAUACACAGUAACAAACAGUGAAUCCAGCUCAAAAAAGGUUUUAUUCUUCAGCUUGAAAAUGAGAAGUCACACCUAGUGAAGAGGAUCCUUGCGUUUCAGGUAUUGAAAUGCUCAGUAAGACAGCGCAAUAGGACAAAAAUCAGCAACAACUCGAUUCUUUUACAAUGUACCUCCCCUCCAAUAACAAAUUUGUCAACAUUACAGAUGUUAUGCCCUCCCCUCCUUAUAAAUGCAAAGCCAGCAGAAUAGAGCAGAAAGACCAGGAGUCCUGGUCUGAGGCUGGAUGCCGUAGCCUGGGGAUGGAAGUGGUUUAGCUCUGGCCUCCCAGGGUGUGCUUGUCAAACAGGUACUCUGCCAUCUUGUUUUUGACAGCAUCCAUCUUGGUGAGGCAAUCUUGUGCAGGUCCAGCAGGGCCUGGUUCACAUUCUUCUCCAGCUGCAGAGCACACUGCAUGGCCUCCAGCCCAUUGCCCCACUCAUCACGUUCUGGCUUCUACACAGGACAGAGUGACCACAGGAGGGUUAGGGACUACUAGCAGAUGUUUCUAUGCAUACCUACUAGCAGUCACCACAGUUAGCCAGUAUAUCUAACCCAUCAAGGGAUAAAACGAACUGGAAAUAAUGAAACAAAAAGUAAAGAUGGGCCAAUUUAACAGACACUACAAACAACCACAUAUGCUUUAGUUUAUGAAGCACAUAUAGGUUGUGUGGCUCAGUCAGUAGAGCAUGGCGUUUAACACCAAUGGUUAUGGCUCACUUCCCGCUGGGGCCACUUAAACAAAAUGUAUGCACACAUGGCCAAGUCAAUUUUGCUAUGCAGCACAGAGAAAAAUGUAGUUUUAGUUUAUACUAAGGUCUUCGCCAUCCCCAAAAUACACAUUUUAAAAUAUAAUAACACUUCCCCUUACUGUUGAGACUUCCUUUGAAAAAAGAACAAUGAUUCCAAUUCCCUGUAUUCAUAGGCCUACAGUAAGCAGUCAGGCCACAUCUUCAAGCGCCUUGCUCUAAUACCAGGGCAGUCACUUAGGGCACACCUCACAAUGAACUCACUCAGCAUUAAUGACUACUCAUUCAAAAUAACUCCUAUACUUGUAGUAAACAGUUUAUUGAAAAAAAAAGAACCCAUCUAGAACCAUAAAGGGUUCUUCAUUUGACCCUAUAGAUCAACCAUUUGGGUCCAUGAAGAACCUUUACAACUGAGAACAAGACUUUU
rnacentral:lncRNA from 1 species